rnacentral:lncRNA from 1 species
GCACACACCCAGGCAGCACUGUAAGAAGUACCUCUAGGCCUGGGAGGCAUUGAGAAAAAGGAAGUGGGUCCUGUUCUGGUUCUUGCUACUGUAGUCACCGCCCGAGGCAAAUGACCACUGUCCUGAGAGGACGUGGAUGAGGGCAGGAUAUGCAUUGAGGACUCUUCAUCUAAUAGCCCUGACCCACGCAGAACCUGCUCCCAAGAAUCAAGCUCAGGCUUUUUGGCCACUCAGGUUCCAAGAAAAGCAGCCUUAUGGACUCUCUCAAGUGUGGGCUGCUGAGGAGCUUUCUCAAAAGCCUUUGGAGACAAGCUGAAGAACCCACUCCAAGUUGUCCUGCUGGCUUCCAUGCGGACAUCAUGAAUGUUCCUGAACCAGCUGGAGGCGAGUUUGGAUAUGACAGAGAUACAUCAUUGCUGAAAGAGAUCAGGAGUAGGUACUUGCAUUGCCACACAAACUGUCCUUGGAGCUGCUGUUGCUGAUACAGAUGCAGUGGUAGUUGGAAACCUGCAUGAAGCAUCGUGACCAGGGGAAGUGAUAUUCACGACUCUAGCUACACUUUUCUCUGUUCUGGAGAAGUUUACGGGGGAUGAAUUUUUUCUAUCACAAACAGAGGAUGCUGCUUUCAGGAGACUUUCUGCCGACAGUGACACUUGUUCCAAUGAUUUUUUAUCAGUAGCUCCUGCUAAAUUUUCAUUACAGAUUUCACUUCUGUCAUCAUCUGUGACCACUAUGUUUUUGGGCAUAUCCUUAAACUGAUAUACAAGCCUCUGUCCUUCAACCUUUGCAAGACUUCCCUUUUGGUAGCUUUGCAAUAAUUCCCCUUUGGUAAUAGAAUCUCAAAGCUCAUUCCAUAGUUUCAUAGUUCAUGUUUGGUUUGUUCUUAUACUUUCCCCAAAACUUGGAGGCAGCCUUUGAAUCCACCAGCCUGAAUAUGCCUUUUUCUCUCUGAAUCCAUUUAAUAUAGAGAGGACAAAUAUUUUUAUCUUUAAGUAGAUCUAAAAGAAACUCCCACAAAUAUAUUAUGUUUCCUUUUCCUUCUCUCAUCUUUUUUUUUAUACCUGACUCAGGAGACCCACUGGAAAUUGGUGAUUGUUGGGUCUUUGGUUUACAGCCAAUUUUUUUCCUUUUCAUUGGUUCAUGGCUAUCUGGUGAUGUAGGAAUAGGAGAGGUAUCCAUUGGUUCAGACCCCUCAGUUGACACCUCCACUACAGUUUCUGUAAUGAUAUCUGGCCUCAUAGCAACAUGGAUAAAUUCAGGACUUCUUGAAUCCCUCAAGUAGGUGGGAGAUUUCAUAGGAAGCAGGGCUUCAGCAGCUUCAAUUCUCUUUUGGAGUCAUGUUCAAAAUAAUCUUGCUCAGGCCAAUGUCUUAAAGCAUUUCUGCUGUUUUCCUCUAGUAGUUUCAUAUUUUGGGGUCUUAUAUUUGUGUCUUUAAUCCAUUUGAGUUUAUUUUUCUAUCUGGUGAAGGAUAGAAAUCCAGUUUCAUUCUGUGUGUGCACAUCCCGUUUUCCAAGCACCAUUUGUUGAAGAGUCUGUCCUGUUUGCAAUGUGUGCUCUUGGCACUUUGCCAAAAAUCAGUUGGCUGUAGAUGCAUGGAGUUAUUUCUGGGCUUUCUGUUCUGUCCCUUUGGUCUAUUUGUCUUUCUUUAUGCUAAUGCCAUCCUGUUUAGGUUAUUAUAACUUUGUAGUGUAUUGUGUAUUUUGAAGUCAGGCAGUAUGAUGUUUGGAGCUUACUUUCUUUUUCUUCUUCUCCAGACUGCUUUGUCUAUUUGGGGUCUUUUUUGGUUCCAUAUGAGUUUUAGGAUUGUUUUUCCUAUCUCUGUGAAGAGUGUCACUGGUAUUUUGAUAGAGAUUUCAUUGAAUCUAUAGAUAGCUUUGGUUAGGACUGGCGUCUUAAAAAUAUUAGUUUUUCUAAUGCAAGAACACAGGAUAUCUUUCCAUUUAUUUGCAUCCGCUUAAUUUCUUUCACCAAUGUUUUAUACUUUUCAGACCAGAGAUCUUUCAGCUCCUAGUUAAAUUUAUUUUUAGGCAUCUCGUUUUUUUGUGGCUAUUUUCUAUGGAAUCUUUUUCUACAUUUUCUUUUCAGAUAGUCCAUUAUUAGUGUAUACAAGUGCUGCCGAUUUCUGUAUUUUGUCUCUGUAUCCUGCAACUUUACUGAAUUCAUUUAUCUUAACAGGUUUUUUUGGUGGAAUCUUCAGCAUUUUCUGUAUACAUGAGUAUAAAUCUAGAGAAAAGUAAACUCUCAUACACCAUUGGUGGAAAUAUAAAUUAAUAAAGCCACUAUGGAGAACAGUUAGGAGGUUCCCCAUAAAACUACAAAUAGAGCUACCGUACAAAUCAGUGAUCCCACUGCUGGGUAUAUACACAAAAGAAAGGAAAUCAGUAUAUUGAAGAGAAAUCUGCACUCCCCAGUUUACUGCAGCACUGUUCACAAUAACUAAGAUUUGGAGGAAACCCAAGUGUCCAUCAAUAGAUGAAAGGGUAAAGAAAAUGUGGUGCAUAUACACAAUGGAGUACUAUUCAGCCAUAAAAAGGAAUGAGAUUCUGUCAUUUGCAACAAUAUGGAUGGAACUGGAGGUCAUUAUGUUAAGUGCAACAAGCCAGGCACAGAAAGACAAACGUGGCAUUUUCUCACUUAUUCAUGGGAUCUAAAAAUCAAAACAAUUGAGCUGAUGGGCAUAGAGAGCAGAAGAAUGGUUGCCAGAGGCUAGGAAAGGUAGUGGGAGGGGAUUGGCAGGGGUGGGUGGGGAUAGUUAAUGGGUAUAAAAAAAUAGUUACAAAGAAUUAAUAAGACCUACUAUUUGAUAGCACAGUAGAGUGACUAUAGUCAAAAAUAAAGUAAUUGUACAUUUAAAAAUAACUUAAGAAGGAUAAUUGGAUUUUUGUAACAGAAAGGAUAAAUGCUUGAGGGAAUGGAUACCACAUUCUUCAUGAUCUGAUUAUUACGCAUUGCAUGCCUGUAUCAAAACAUCUCAUGUACCCCAUAAAUAUAUACACCUAUUAUGUACCCACA